CAGAGGGGAAAUAAGGUGACGCUGACCGGCUCCUCCUGUUUUUCAAGGUGACUUUUCCAAUUUAUUUAAUUCCGAGUAGAAAAUUAGAAAUGUCUGGGAAAAUUUAUGUCUUCAAUGUACUUUAUAAUCUUCGGAAUUCUGCAAGAUUUCACCCCCCAAAUGCUUGAAAUCGCAUUUCAGGGACUCUAGAUUUCAAAAUUUUCCUGGGGUGGGGGGCAUGCCCCCGAACCCCCCUAGAUGGUCUCGCGCCUUCAGCGUUCGCUUCGCCCCCCCCCCAAAAAAAAAGGGACAGAUUAUACAGAACUAAUAGUUCCUUACAAGAUAAACUGCCUUAUUAAAUAAAUCAGUCGUUUGCUUUGAAGAUUGAAACGGUUUCUUUCUUUUAUCCGUUUAUAGAGCAAAGAACCAAAGGUGGAUAUAAUAACCUAGAAAUCCCUUAAUUGGACAGCAGCCCCAUGAUUCUUCACGUGCUCGUGCGGAUUGAAUUCGUUUCCAUAGAUAUCACCGAGUUAUCAAAAUAUAUUAAAGUUUGUGAAACAGGCUACUAUACUGUACCAUAACUUAUUGAUAUUGUAUUAUGUAUAUAUUUAUUGAAGAGUGAAAGAGACAAUAUGUAAUAUUAUAUAUUAUGAAAGAUAUGAAAAACGGUGACUAAAGAUUUAAUAUAACAAUAAGACGGAAUCUGGAAAGUACAAUGUCUGGAUGUAAAAUGUAAAUGUCGAUUUGUCGUAUCUAGGAUUCUUUGUGUAAUAUGUUUGGUAUACAUUUGUGUUAUCAAUACUUGUGUUGCAUGGCUUCAAGGGCCAAACCGAAUUAAUAUAUUCUUCCCAUAUAUUUAAGUUUAAUAUAAAUUGUUCCUUAUAGUUUAAAAGAUUAUUAUAUGCUAUGGACACCCAAAAAAUACCCUGGCUAAAAUGUUACUGGUUAACUUAAUAUUAUAUUUUACUCAAUAGCCGAGGCUCCAAAAUUCCUGGUUAAAUUUGCUAAUUAUUUUAUCUCACUUUCUACCAUUGUCUACAUGGUUGAUUUAACCAUGCAGGAAUCUGGUUAUAUUUGACCAAGUCCCCCCCCCCCAAGUCAAACUGAACGGCGGGCAAAUUAUAAACGUAAGUCGGGCAAAAAUUGGGGAAAAUAACUUUUAAAAGAAGUGUAGUAUUUGAAAAUACAAGAUUUCAGUAAGACAUUAGUUUCAGUAUAAGUCGGGCACAAUGGGGAAAAGUUGGGUAAAUUUUCUUCCGCCCCGCCUAAUUUUUUCCUUCCCGUACGCCCUUGGUUAAAUUAAUUAACCAGACCUAACAUGGUCUGGUUAAUUUAACCAAGAUGUCCUCGUCAACUAUAUCCCAUGCAGCUUCUGGUUACAUUAACCAGACUAUGGCAAGAAGUGACAUAAAAAUAACCAGGAAUAUUAAGUUGAUCCAAAUAGAGUUAUUUCUAGAUUUACC